AACCAGUUAAGCUCAACUGACUUAUCACCUCUCUCAUGGGAGCUCAGUAUGCAAUGACUGCAAAAAGCAGAUUCCCUAGUUGUGUAUAGAGCUCAUUGUGUUGUUUUAAGGGAACUUGAAGACAUCA
ensembl:snoRNA SNORA70 Small nucleolar RNA SNORA70